GUAGAGCGACUUGCCCCUUGCUAGGGGACUGGUCGUCUCUCCAUGCAUAUGCAUGUAUUCUCUGAUUAAUCAAUAAAGGAGCCUCAGGCUGUCUGAUCAACUCAACACGGUGGUGGUCAUUUUCCACGACACACCUUAUAGACUAACAGACGUUUUGGAGCAUGAGCUUUCGUGGGUGAAUACCCACUUCGUCCGAUGCAGUGGAAAUUUCCAGAGGCAGGAUUCGAGCUAAUACCCGCAUGAGGUUUGCCACUGUCAACAGACUCUGACCAAGGAACUCACUUUACAGAUGUCAGGGUAGAGCUUAUCCUGACUCUGCUUACACAUCCAUGUGCAUGACGGUCCCCCGACGGUCAACCGUGACUGUUGAUGGGAUGCAGCUCCA